rnacentral:piRNA from 1 species
UAGAAAGGUCAACUUUGUUCCAGAAAGCA